rnacentral:rRNA from 1 species
UACGAAGGGGGCUAGCGUUGCUCGGAAUCACUGGGCGUAAAGGGCGCGUAGGCGGCCGUUCAAGUCGGGGGUGAAAGCCUGUGGCUCAACCACAGAAUUGCCUUCGAUACUGUACGGCUCGAGACCGGAAGAGGUGAGUGGAACUGCGAGUGUAGAGGUGAAAUUCGUAGAUAUUCGGAAGAACACCAGUGGCGAAGGCGACUCGCUGGACAAGUAUUGACGCUGAGGUGCGAAAGCGUGGGGAGCAAACAGG